rnacentral:rRNA from 1 species
CGGUGGAUCAUGUUGUUUAAUUCGAUGAUACGCGAAGAACCUUACCAGGUCUUGACAUCCCCUGCAAAGCUAUGGAGACAUAGUGGAGGUUAUCAGGGAGACAGGUGGUGCAUGGUUGUCGUCAGCUCGUGUCGUGAGAUGUUGGGUUAAGUCCCGCAACGAGCGCAACCCUUAUUGCUAGUUACCAUCAUUGAGUUGGGGACUCUAGCGAGACUGCCAGUGAUAAACUGGAGGAAGUGGGGAUGACGUCAAAUCAUCAUGCCCCUUAUGACCUGGGCUACAAACGUGAUACAAUGGCUGAAACAAAGGGCAGCGAAGCAGUGAUGUGGAGCGAAACCCAAAAAAGCAGUCUCAGUUCGAAUUGAAGUCUGCAACUCGACUUCAUGAAGUCGGAAUCGCUAGUAAUCGCGGAUCAGAACGCCGCGGUGAAUACGUUCUCGGGGUUU